UUGCCUGAUCUGAAGACGAGACUUUCGCUGCAUGCAUAUUUAAUGUAUGACGUCACCCACACAGAGUGAGAGCUCGAGGUUUUCUUUGAAAGUUUGAUGGAAAAUGUACAGAGACACUUGUCGCAGUUAAUGCAUGCAGUACCAAAUGCUUGCUUUCUUGGAGUAUGUGCUUGAAACAAGAAUGUCCUGGAGAAAACAGACCACCACAAGAGAAGACAUACAUGUACAGUAUGGACUAUGAAGUUCUACUUAGCCUCUUCAAUGAACUGCUGUAGCUGUGACUGGGUAUCAAAACCUUGGUAUUAUAAACUUCAUAACCAGUGGCGGAGAUAUGUUGUUAGCUAGGGGGAGGGGUCAGUGCCCCCCCCCCCACUUUUUCAAGUACCCCCAGUAUGCCCCUUUUAUGGCCUUUUCACAUAGGUAAAGUGCCAUAUUACUUUGACAAGUUCCCCUAUUAAUUUGUAAAAUUGCCCCUUCCCCAUUUCACCUCUGAUAAGUGCCCCUUAUCCUUCGACAAGUUCCCAUUAUUCUAUGCAAU